GCCGGGGCGUCCCCCGCGGGAGCCCGCAGCCACCCGGGACGCGCAUCCAGACGUGGCGCUUCGGACCGGGCACGCUGCGCCCGGGGGCUCGGCGGACCCCGCGUAGCCGCCGCUUCGGAGCUUGUGCGGCGCGGGCUGGCCAGCGGGGCGGCCAGGGCCCGGCCCGCCUCCCCAGCGCCCGCCCGGCUUCUCCCCCUGGCGGUGGGAGCCUCGGCGGCCGCUGGCGACACUAGGCGCACUGAAGCCCGAGCCGAGCCGAGCCCGAGCCGCCGCCGCCGCCGCCGCUGCUGCGCACCGCUCCCGGGCUCCCUCCCAGCGCGCCGGCCGGGGUGUGGGGGGCGGCGGGCCGGAGGGGCGAGGGCGGGCCAGGGGGCGCACACGGGGGUUGGCGCGGAAGACAGGACCCUCAGCCUCGAGGGAGCCCCUAGGUGACCAGGCAAAAUGGCAGUUCCUUCCAGCUGGUCCUCAGAUGGGCACAUCUAUUAGCCUCUGCUCUUGUAAGAAGUUAGCUGCAGAACCCACAUGUGAAUCCUUGUAGGACUCUGGAGAAGAUCAAAUGGGAGCUUAGAUGUGGAAGCUCUUUGGAAACCAAGAAACACUCUGAAAAUGAAAAGGGAUCUCAACUUUUCUCUUCCCGCUCCAGCUGCACUAUGUAUCCGUGCUUGGCUCUCAGUUGUUGGAUUCUCAUGUCUCCUUUUUCACAGUGGCUCAGGUGGAAGAGUAAACUGUUCCUGUUUCUCCAUCUUGACAGGAAGCAGAAGUUCUCCUUAGCUGAUUUUUCUUCUUGCCUUAUACUGGGUUCUUUAACACCAGAACAAAAAUAAAUAAAUAAAAGAAUCUUCCAGAAAUUCAUGAAGAGACUUCAGGUCAGGAAAGCCUGAACUUUCUCAUCCAACACCCGUUCAAGUCGGAGGAUGCUGAUUAAUUCAUGAUGGAAAGGUAUCAAUUUCACAGCCCAGACCUCUACAUUCUUGAAAUGCUCUUCUCAUGGGAGACAUUAAAUAAGCUUUGAAUUAACUGCACCUGUUCAUUCCAUUCCAACCUGGCUGUUCUCAAGGGCAUUAGAAGAAGCAAGAAAAGAAGAUAUUGUGACCAGUGGUUCACAGCAAUGCCCAGAAGAGUUAAAAGUGGUCUGAUGAAGAGUGUCUAGCCCUGCAGUGUUGGGAGGUAGGAAGCAGGAUGUUGCAGAAACUCAGCAGCCUGGGUGUCAAGGCACAUAAGUCAAGAAGGCCACUUUGGGCAGCAAAUAAAGAAACCAAGCUGACACCCAGAUAUGGAUAGUGAGAAAAGCUACUGUUAAGUGAAGUACACAGGACUUUGGGACGUAGGUA
rnacentral:lncRNA from 1 species